ensembl:snRNA U6 U6 spliceosomal RNA
GGGCUCACCUCAGCAGCACACGUACUAAACUUGGGGUGAUACGGAGAUUAGCAUGGUCCCUGAGCUAGGAUGACAUGUACAUUCCUCAAGUGUUUCACAUUUUU